rnacentral:rRNA from 1 species
CGCGGCCUAUCAGCUUGUUGGUGAGGUAACGGCUCACCAAGGCAUCGACGGGUAGCUGGUCUGAGAGGAUGAUCAGCCACGCUGGGACUGAGACACGGCCCAGACUCCUACGGGAGGCAGCAGUAGGGAAUAUUGCACAAUGGGCGAAAGCCUGAUGCAGCAACGCCGCGUGCGGGAAGAAGGCCCUAGGGUUGUAAACCGCUUUCAGCAGGGAAGAAAAUGACGGUACCUGCAGAAGAAGGUGCGGCCAACUACGUGCCAGUAGCCGCGGUGACACGUAGGCACCAAGCGUUGUCCGGAUUUAUUGGGCGUAAAGAGCUCGUAGGCGGUUCAGUUAGUCGGGUGUGAAAACUCUGGGCUCAACCCAGAGACGCCACUCGAUACUGCUGUGACUAGAGUGCGGUAGGGGAGCGGGGAAUUCCUAGUGUAGCGGUGAAAUGCGCAGAUAUUAGGAGGAACACCAGUGGCGAAGGCGCCGCUCUGGGCCGUAACUGACGCUGAGGAGCGAAAGCGUGGGUAGCAAACAGGAUUAGAUACCCUGGUAGUCCACGCCGUAAACGUUGGGCACUAGGUGUGGGUCUCAACCAACGAGAUCCGCGCCGUCGCUAACGCAUUAAGUGCCCCGCCUGGGGAGUACGG